rnacentral:sRNA from 1 species
AGUUGAUUUAGUAAGAAAUUGGUCAUGAUUUUAAGGGUGAAUCUUGUUGUGUCUCUCUCUGGCUACAGAUGCUAGGUGUUCAAGGAGCAUGCAAAGAUAAUCCUGGGGAAAAUGCCCGGCAGCUUGCCCGAAUUGUGUGUGGGACCGUAAUGGCUGGGGAAUUGUCACUUAUGGCAGCAUUGGCAGCAGGACAUCUUGUCAAAAGUCACAUGAUUCACAACAGGUCGAAGAUCAAUUUACAAGACCUCCAAGGAGCUUGCACCAAGAAGACAGCCUGAAUAGCCCGACAGUUCUGAACUGGAACAUGGGCAUUGGGUUCUAAAGGACUAACAUAAAAUCUGUGAAUUAAAAAAGCUCAAUGCAUUGUCUUGUGGAGGAUGAAUAGAUGUGAUCACUGAGACAGCCACUUGGUUUUUGGCUCUUUCAGAGAGGUCUCAGGUUCUUUCCAUGCAGAGACUCCUCAGAUC